rnacentral:rRNA from 1 species
GAUGAACGCUGGCGGUAUGCUUAACACAUGCAAGUCGAACGGACUCUUCGGAGUUAGUGGCGGACGGGUGAGUAACGCGUGAGAAUCUGGCUUUGGGUUCGGGACAACCACUGGAAACGGUGGCUAAUACCGGAUGUGCCGAGAGGUAAAAGAGAAAUUGCCUGAAGAUGAGCUCGCGUCUGAUUAGCUAGUUGGUGAGGUAAAGGCUCACCAAGGCAGCGAUCAGUAGCUGGUCUGAGAGGAUGACCAGCCACACUGGGACUGAGACACGGCCCAGACUCCUACGGGAGGCAGCAGUGGGGAAUUUUCCGCAAUGGGCGAAAGCCUGACGGAGCAAUACCGCGUGAGGGAAGAAGGCUCUUGGGUUGUAAACCUCUUUUCUUAGGGAAGAACAAAAUGACGGUACCUAAGGAAUCAGCAUCGGCUAACUCCGUA